rnacentral:misc_RNA from 1 species
AGCUUCUCUCUCGAUAACUUGCCUCGUCAGGCGGCAGGUUGCAGGAGUUCCAGAUGCAAGGCUGCCAGGUGUCCCCAUUCGUUUGGAAUUUUCGAUGAAUUCUUCGUGCGCCAACUCAUCUGGUGCACUGGACAGAAUAUGGAACAUGGCUUGAUCGAAGAAUCAGAAACGUGCGCACAGGCUUUCCCGAGCACCUUGAGAUGUUGCCGCGCAUCGUCGGCGAUUGGAACCUGUGAAGCGCCCGUUGCCAAAAAGCAUCAAUUCGGGGAAAGAAACUCAUCUCCAACCGACCUGGAUAGAUAGAGAAGAAAACGUUUUCUGUGAGCGUGAAUCUCGGCUUGAGGAAUCUCGUGGCUGCCGAGGUACUUGGCAAUCAAGAGGACGGAGCCAAAGAACGCAACGGAAACGAGACGAAGGCGCCGAACAUUUCCCUGACUUGGUAUCAACGAGUCGGCCAUGCUGGACGCUUCAAGAGAUGCCAACGACAGGAAUGACGGUUUCAGGACUAUUACUGAACCGCUGCGCACCCUGUCGAGCAGAGACGAUCGCGUUGUUUGCUUUAUUCAGGGCGUACAAGAGACCGCGCUUGGGUAGCCAUCGGUUUCUGUUGUACGGAGACAAGACGCGGGCAUUCGUCAACUUGUGCAAUGCGUUGGAAAGGAAAUGAACGACAAGUCGCGUCGUUCGGUGCUGGGCUCUAUCGCUGGACCUCCCCUAGCCCGGUCAUAUUUACUCGUGCUUCCUGUACGAAAGCUUAGAGUUCGUGCAGGAAUCGAUGCUGUGCGAUUCCCAUGGAUGCGUGCAGAGCGAAAGAAGAGCAUCAUGAGCACGCGUCCACGCUGGAGCACAUAGAGAAGCAGAGCCAGAUGCAUUCGAUGGUGUUUGGUACGCUGACAGAAAGUCAGGCGGCGAGGUCAUCAAAGCUACGAAGCUUGAGAUGGGAUGACUCCAACAGCGAUCGUGCCCGCAAGCGCUUUCUGCAUCGAAACCAAAAGCGCCUCGGUCAACAUCCGGAAAUGUCUCAUGCUCCCGGAGCGUCCAGUUGCGUUACAUCGUGCAAAGUUUCCAGGGAUCGUUUUGUACUUUGUGCAGGUAUUGCCCGUUACCGCUGAAGACUUGAGAUGAGAAAAUCAGUGGCCACCAGAGAUGGUAUUUGAUUCUCGCUAGGGGCAACAGAAUUCUAUACGAAGUUUGAGAGAUUUGGCAAUGCUGACGCCCUGCAGAGAAGCUCCGGGAAAGGUAUCCCCGGACAAGUGGUGAACGAUCAUGGUGUCCCGCUAUUCGAUCUACCGAGUAUUUGUGGCAGGAAAGGUCAUUCAUGCAUAUCUGGCAGGGCCCGCCGCUCUCGACAUACUCGUGUCUGAGACGCCAUUGCGGCGUUGAUCUAGCCGCUGCGACAUAUGAAGUUUUUUUGCAAUACUCCCGUCAUGCGUGCUGCUAUUCGGCGCCACAUUUGGCACCGGACACGCUACCGAUUCUCUCAGUCAUCUUCGGUACCAGGGUGACAAUCUUAGAGUUCGAAUGCGCGCGAACAGAUCUCAAGGAAACUUGGAUGAACACUGGCGCAUGUGCUGCUCAAGGCUGUCGCUCGCAAGGGGACUCCUGAGCCGUCCAGAAUCUGCAGCAACUUCGCUAUGAUGAAACGUCCGCCGCCGCCGCCGCCGCAACAGCAGCCAGCAUCUGGAAAGAGCUCUAUAUCCAGAGCGUUGGUAGAUUACUUCAGCGUCUAAUUCUUCGAGCAGGACUGCUCCUGGGUGGGCGAAAUAAAAUAGCGUCCAUGGAGCAACUGACGUCCCUGGGCGCUUACCGGCAAGGAGCGUUCCCGUCGAACCCGGAUUCGAUUCGUUGAUCUGCCGCCGAUAGAAGGCACACGGCAAUGACGCCCCCAGCCUGGUAUCGCAUGGAGGAAAUAGUCUGGCAACUAAAAUAGGCAUA